GUUUGAAUUUGUAUGUAUGUGUGUAACACUUUUUUAAAUAAUAUUGAAUAAUAUUUCGUAUAUUUGCGUACAUAUUAUGUAUAUUACAUACUGCUGCUGCUUAUCGUACCUUUUAGGAUUUUUUGUUCAGGUUGGAUUUUUGUAGAAAGGCAAAAGUUAGAAAAAUAUUCUAUGUAUAUAAACUUAUCGAAAAUUUUUUCUUC